UUUCCGUAGGUGAACCUGCGGAAGGACCAUUCAUAAUAAGUGUUUUAUGGCACUUUUUUAAAUCCAUAUCCACCUUGUGUGCAAUGUCAGGGUUGAUUCUUCUCUCGAGAGGAUCAACCCCAAACAUCAACUAUAUCUCAACUCUUUGUCUGAAAAAUAUUAUGAAUAAAACAAUUCAAAAUACAACUUUCAACAACGGAUCUCUUGGCUCUC
rnacentral:misc_RNA from 1 species